rnacentral:lncRNA from 1 species
GCCCACCCAAACUUGAAAACCUAGCUACGCCCCUGAUGUAACUCGUGUUGAACUUCUUGCUCUAACGGCGUCUUUGGUUCUUUGAUGGCAUCUUCUUUUUUCUCUUAACAGAAAUUAAGAGAAUGUUGCCGCACGAGGCCAAUGAUUCACCAAUGAAUUCAUACGUUGUGAUAAGAAAACGUUGCUGCAUUUACACCCCGAAACAGCAGGGGGAAGUAAGCUGCGCCAACAACCCGAGACGACGAAGCAGUGAUGAUGGAGCAGCGUCUCGACAUGGCAGACAGUCCGAGGUCUCAGCAGUCUGCCCGUGUCAGAAGAUCUGAAUCCAGCUGGUGGUCGUCCCUGAUCCCUGGUCUUCACUUUUACUGCAGCUACAUCUUUGUUUGUACAAUGGGAUGAGGUAGUAGGUUGUAUAGUUUUAGGGUCACACCCGCACUGGGAGAUAACUAUUCAACCUACUGUCUUUCUCAAAGUGCCAAACACACGUCUCAGUGGACCCUCCAUUUCUUCUGGAGGCCACUUUUCCGUCAGUGUUUGCAUGGACCAAGAUGUCUUCAAAAAAAGCAGUUGCUCACACAGUGUGAGGUAGUAGAUUGUAUAGUUGUAGGGUAGUGAUUUUGCCCUGUUUGGGAGAUAACUAUACAAUUUAUUGCCUUCCUUGAGGAGUGGCAUUUCUUCUGUUUUAUUUAUAUUGAAUGAGCUCAUCAAAGAGCCUUAUGGACCACUAGACCCUCUGACUACAAGUUUUUAGUCACUUAUUCCAGUCAUGACCAAAAAUCCUUGUAUGAAACAUGUACUUUGUAGAUUAAUAAAGGUCACAAGGUAUGUUACAGCAUGUCAUUGCUUGUAUUGACUUUAUUAUAAAGUUUUUAAAUGUCCGGAUAAUAAGUAAAUAACUUAUUUCAUUUGACAUUUGUGUAAAUCCUCUGUUGACUAUCCCCCAUAUCUGCAAAAACCUACCGUAUAGUGAUGGUGUAUGUGAUAAAGUGCAGGCUGGAGAGCUGACAAAAAGUCUCCGACUAGGAAAAUGUUUUAAUAGAUGUAUGAUAUCACUGCCCAGCGAGUACGAGUAGAUCUCACGAUAAUUACAUUUGUGUGUUUAUUAAAUGAAGGUGUUGCUUAGAUGUAUUCUUAUGGAAUAUAAGAUACUUUAUUAAUGCUCUAGGGGAAAUGAUGACGUGUUGGAGUCUUAUUAUUUCUGCUGCAACCCCGGCAGUGUGAAACAGACUUGCAAGCAAAUAAAACAACAUAAUUCAAAGCAGUAAGCA